CAGUAGCGUAUAUAAGUUGCUGCGGUUAAAAAGCUCGUAGUUGGAUUUCUGUCGAGGACGACCGGUCCGCCCUCUGGGUGAUGCAUCUGGCUCGGCCUUGGCAUCUUCUUGGGAAACGUUACUGCACUUGACUGUGUGGUGCGGUAUCCAGGACUUUUACUUUGAGGAAAUUAGAGUGUUUCAAGCAGGCGCACGCCUUGAAUACAUUAGCAUGGAAUAAUAAGCUAGGACCUUGGUUCUAUUUUGUUGGUUUCUAGAGCUGAGGUAAUGAUUAAUAGGGAUAGUUGGGGGCAUUCGUAUUUAACUGUCAGAGGUGAAAAUCUUGGAUUUGUUAAAGACGGACUACUGCGAAAGCAUUUGCCAAGGAUGUUUUCAUUGA
rnacentral:rRNA from 1 species